rnacentral:rRNA from 1 species
AUUGAACGCUGGCGGCAGGCCUAACACAUGCAAGUCGAGCGGAUGAAGGGAGCUUGCUCCUGGAUUCAGCGGCGGACGGGUGAGUAAUGCCUAGGAAUCUGCCUGGUAGUGGGGGAUAACGUCCGGAAACGGGCGCUAAUACCGCAUACGUCCUGAGAGAGAAAGUGGGGGAUCUUCGGACCUCACGCUAUCAGAUGAGCCUAGGUCGGAUUAGCUAGUUGGUGGGGUAAAGGCCUACCAAGGCGACGAUCCGUAACUGGUCUGAGAGGAUGAUCAUUCACACUGGAACUGAGACACGGUCCAGACUCCUACGGGAGGCAGCAGUGGGGAAUAUUGGACAAUGGGCGAAAGCCUGAUCCAGCCAUGCCGCGUGUGUGAAGAAGGUCUUCGGAUUGUAAAGCACUUUAAGUUGGGAGGAAGGGCAGUAAGUUAAUACCUUGCUGUUUUGACGUUACCAACAGAAUAAGCACCGGCUAACUUCGUG